GCUUCUCUGCGGCCGACGUCGCUGAGUCUUCCAAGACCUCAGCCCACAGAGCGGGAGGGGCCCAGAGGGCAGCGACACUUAGGUGCCUCCAGGUUUGGCUGUGUGUGGUUUCACACCAUCAUGCCAGCUGGCACGCGCGUGCACCCAGUGGUGCUGACACCUCCACAGUGAGCCAGGGAAACCUGCCUGCGGCUGCCACCGCCCCAACCCUGGUAUCCUGGGAGGUUCCUCACGGGCAGCUCGCCCGACCCAGGUGCAGUGAAGAGUCCCCUGUGACUGAGGAGGAGCAGUGACACAGCCAGGGCACAGUGUGAUUCCAGGACUCCCGGACCCCACCCCUGUGACCGAGGAGGAGCAGUGACACAGCCAGGACACAGUGAGACUCCAGGACUCCCCGACCCUGCCCCUGUGACAGAGGAGGAGCAGUGACACAGCCAGGACACGGUGUGACUCCAGGACCCUGCCCCUGUGACCGAGGAGGAGCAGUGACACAGCCAGGGCAUAGUGUGACUCCAGGACCCUGCCCCUGUGACCGAGGAGGAGCAGUGACACAGCCAGGACACAGUGUGACUCCAGGACUCCCGGACCCUGCCCCUGUGACCGAGGAGGAGCAGUGACACAGCCAGGACACAGUGAGACUCCAGGACUCCCCGACCCUGCCCCUGUGACAGAGGAGGAGCAGUGACACAGCCAGGGCAUAGGGUGACUCCAGGACCCUGCCCCUGUGACCGAGGAGGAGCAGUGACACAGCCAGGGCACAGUGUGACUCCAGGACCCUGCCCCUGUGACUGAGGAGGAGCAGUGACACAGCCAGGGCACAGUGUGACUCCAGGACUCCCGGACCCUGCCCCUGUGACUGAGGAGGAGCAGUGACACAGCCAGGGCAUAGUGUGACUCCAGGACCCUGCCCCUGUGACUGAGGAGGAGCAGUGACACAGCCAGGGCACAGUGUGACUCCAGGACUCCCGGACCCUGCCCCUGUGACUGAGGAGGAGCAGUGACACAGCCAGGGCAUAGUGUGACUCCAGGACUCCAGGACCCUCCCCCUGUGACAGAGGAGGAGCAGUGACACAGCCAGGGCACAGUGUGACUCCAGGACCCUGCCCCUGUGACUGAUCGCCUGGGUGCUUUUGCCCCACCAUCCUGACCACUGUCAUCAUGGACCAGUCAGUGGCACUGCUAUCCUCAGACAGGCUGGCCUGGGCUGAAUGGUGGCCUUCAAACUUGGUCAUCAUCCCAAAUAAAAUGACAGGCCCAGCCACACAACACUGAAAUAGAAAACAGGCAAACAAUAGAGACAAUCAACACAACAAAAAGCUGACUCUGAAAAGAUCAAUAAAUUUGAUACAACUCUACCUAUACUGAUUUUUUAAAAGAGAGAAGUGACAAAUUAUUAACAUGAGAAAUGAAAUAGGAAACAUCACUACAGAUCUGACAGACAUUAAAAGGACAAUAAAGAAAUAUGAUGACCAACUUUAUGCCAAUAAAUUUAGACAACUUAUAUAAAAUAAACAGAUUCCUUGAAAUAUAUAAAUUAUCUAAAUUAACUCAAAAAUAUUCCUA
rnacentral:lncRNA from 10 species